AUAGAACCUGAAACCCUGCACUUACAAGCUGUGGAAGCACAUUUCUUGUGUGACCGCGUACUUUUUGUAGAACGGGCCAACGAGUUACGUUAAGUAGCAAGGUUAAGCACUUAAGGUGUGGAGCCGUAGCGAAAGCGAGUUUUAACUGAGCGUUCAGUUACUUGACGUAGACCCGAAACCGGGCGACCUACCCAUGAGCAGGAUGAAGCGAAAGUAAAAUUUCGUGGAGGUCCGAACCCACGAGCGUUGAAAAGCUCGGGGAUGACUUGUGGGUAGCGGUGAAAUUCCAAUCGAGCCCGGAGAUAGCUGGUUCUCCCCGAAAUAGCUUUAGGGCUAGCCUCAAGGUGAG
rnacentral:rRNA from 1 species